UACGAAGGGGGCUAGCGUUGUUCGGAAUUACUGGGCGUAAAGCGUGCGCAGGCGGUUAUGCAAGACAGAGGUGAAAUCCCCGGGCUCAACCUGGGAACUGCCUUUGUGACUGCAUGGCUAGAGUACGGUAGAGGGGGAUGGAAUUCCGCGUGUAGCAGUGAAAUGCGUAGAUAUGCGGAGGAACACCGAUGGCGAAGGCAAUCCCCUGGACCUGUACUGACGCUCAUGCACGAAAGCGUGGGGAGCAAACAGG
rnacentral:rRNA from 1 species